CACAUGGCAAGGAACUGUGGGCGGUCCCUAGAACUGAAGGAGACUUCUAGCCAACAAUCAGUAAGAAAAUGAAGCCCUGUUUCUUACAGCUUCAAGAAACUGUGUCCUCUGCCAACAACAUGCUUUUACACAAUGCUGAUCAAUCACAGUAUGUGAGUGUCCAAAUAUGUGUACCCUGUCUUGGCCAAUGUACUCUCCUACCUUCUUCCUUCCAUGUUGGAGUGUAUUGGCUGAAAAAGAUAUGAAGCUACGUGUCUCUUUGGGAUGGAGCGGAGAUCCUGUCUAUCCUAAUGUGUCCUACAGAAAUACUCCUUGUUGUCUGCAAUCAAGUGGUUUUUCUCACACAGCACAUUUUUAAAUUAAGACCAUUGCUGGCACAUUUUGCAUUACUGGCAUUGUUUGGAAGCAUAAUGCAACAGAUGCAGGAAAAGCCAUUUGAUAUCAAUUCAGUAGCAAUGUGCCCAGCACACGGUAUGAAGCACAGAUGUUUAUAUGGAAUGGCCAUGAAGUUGGAAAAUGAAAACUUGGAAGAAAGCUAUUGAGUUCCAAAACCUCUCAAAUGC
rnacentral:lncRNA from 13 species